UGGACCUGAUAUCAGGCAAGAUUACCCGCUGAACUUAAGCAUAUCAUAA
rnacentral:rRNA from 1 species